AUGGCAGCUACAUGCAAGUCAAAUGAAAAAGUGUUUGCCAUAUCAACUAUAUCCUCAAAAGAUAUAUUAAGCAUUCAUGUUGUUUUGAAUGAUAAUGACGAAUCUCUUGUUGAGGGAUUAAAGGAUAUUGGGAUGGAGAUUAUAGAAAGAUGUGAUGGUUUGCCACUUGCAGUUAAGGUGGUUGGAGGACUUUUGCUCAGCAAGGGAAAAACAAGAGGUGAUUGGCUUGAUGUUUGUAGUAAUGUCGCAUGGUCAAUGACUACAAUUAGCGAUGAUGUCAACCAAGCAGUGUAUGUGAGCUAUGAGGAAUUACCACAGGUUUUGAAGCAAUGUCUUUUAUAUUGUUCACUCUUUCCUAAGGAUGUAUUGAUCAAGAGUGCGGAUAUAGUCAAUAUGUGGAUUGCUGAAGGUUUCAUACAUAUCACAAGUAUGAAACAGCCAGAAGAUCUGGGAGCUGAGUACUACAAACAAUUAGUCUCACGGAAUCUUCUAGACCCGGAUUAUCGUUUUUAUGAUCAAAAAGCAUGCACCAUGCAUGAUGUUAUCCGCUCAUUUAGUCAGUCUGUAGUGAAACAUGAAGGUUUGUUUGUUGAGGAGGGGCAUAAUCCAAGUUUUACUUCAGGUACUUCCAAGUUGCGGCACCUGUCCAUAUCAAAGAAUGUAACCGAAUGGGAUGCUUUUCACAAACAAGCCUCUCCACGAACAUUGAUAUUAUUCGAAAGCCCCAGGGUUGAUUUAAAAGGUUUUUGGAACAACCUUUCUCUCCUGCGAGUACUUAGUCUACAAGGUGUAAAUGUUGUCGAGCUACCUGACUCGAUAAGCAACCUCAGACAUUUAAGGUACUUGGGACUUGCAGGUACAAGCAUAUCUGGGAUCCCACAAGGAAUAGGUGAUCUGAUGUUUAUGCAGUUCAUCGAACUUGCAGAUUGUGUAAAAAUUUCUCAUGUUCCAGAUAGCAUCUUGAAGCUGCGAAAGCUAAGGUAUAUCAACUUUGCUGGCACCAACAUAGCAUCAAUUCCUCGUGGAUUUGGGAAGCUGGAAGAUUUGGUCAUGAUAUCUGGGUUUCCAACUCAUUCAGAUGAUAAUACAGAUCAAGUAUGGUCCAGUCUGGAAGAACUAGGGCCUUUGUCGAGACUCACAAUGCUUGUCAUAGAAAGUUUGGAGAAGGCAUCUUCUGGUUCUGUGGCCGCUAGAGCAAAACUUAGUAGUAAAGCCCACCUAAGAAUUUUGAACCUGGGAUUUACACAGAAUAGGGAGGUGGAAGAGCAAAACAAUGGGGAGCAAGAGAGAAUCGAGGAGGUUUUGGGUAAUCUCUGUCCUCCAACCUGCAUAGAACAGCUUGCCAUCAUUGGAUACUUUGGACACAAACUUCCCCAGUGGAUGAGAAUGGUGCCAGUCUUUACCUUCUUAAAGCGGCUUGAGCUAUCAAGUUACGCUUGCUAUGAGCUGCCUUCUGGCUUAGGCCAACUCCCCUCUCUUGACUAUUUUUGGGUUGACCAAGCUCCAUUCAUCAAGUAUAUCGGUCAUGGUCUUCACAUGCCCUCAAUUGGUGGUCGGGACAUCGGCCUAGAUAAGACACUUUCUGGUGGUGCUGCUGUUGUUGCAUUUCCCAAGCUGAGAAAACUUGGGUUUCAGGGGAUUUUGGGACUGACAGAGUGGGAAUGGGAGCAGCAAAUCCCAGCUAUGACAACUUUAGAGGUGCUUACAAUUGUCAAUUGUCAGCUCAAGUAUCUCCCUCCUGGACUUGCACAUCAUGCAAAUGCACUGCGGGAGUUGGAUCUAAGAAACCUCUCGCACCUGGUCUCCAUACACAACUUCCCUUCACUCGUUGAGCUUCGCAUAGUUGACAACCGAACACUAGAGAGAAUCUACAACAAUCCAAAUUUGCAGCAUAUUUACAUCGUUAGCUGCCCAGGGCUAAAGGUAUUGGAAGAUUUGCCAUCACUCCAGAGCAUCGAAUGGGUGGAUGUGACUGCUCAAGUGCUCCCAGAUUACCUCCGGCACUCAAAGUUAGAGAAGUUGAUUGUACAAUGCUACAUAAGCUUGCUCAAACUGAUAUCCUUACAAGAUGCCAACUCUUCGGAAUCCGAGUGGGGAAAGAUCCAGCAUGUUCACCAACUAAAAGCAACUGGGUACAUAUCAGCAGAAGAGACACGAUAUAUCUCCUACACCAAGGAGCCCUACUCCUACAAAACAGACAUUGGUACGUAA
rnacentral:rRNA from 1 species